rnacentral:misc_RNA from 1 species
GAUGAAGAACGCAGCGAAAUGCGAUAAGUAAUGUGAAUUGCAGAAUUCAGUGAAUCAUCGAAUCUUUGAAUGCACAUUGCGCCCGUCAGUAUUCUGGCGGGCAUGCCUGUUCGAGCGUCAUUACGCCCCUCAAGUCCCCUGUGGACUUGGUGUUGGGGAUCGGCGAGGCUGGUUUUCCAGCACAGCCGUCCCUUAAAUUAAUUGGCGGUCUCGCCGUGGCCCUCCUCUGCGCAGUAGUAAAACACUCGCAACAGGAGCCCGGCGCGGUCCACUGCCGUAAAACCCCCCAACUUUUUAUAGUUGACCUCGAAUCAGGUAGGACUACCCGCUGAACUUAAGCAUAUCAAUAAGCGGAGGA